GAGCGAGCUUGCCUAGAUGAAUUUGGUGCUUGCACCAAAUGAAACUAGAUACAAGCGAGCGGCGGACGGGUGAGUAACACGUGGGUAACCUGCCCAAGAGACUGGGAUAACACCUGGAAACAGAUGCUAAUACCGGAUAACAACACUAGACGCAUGUCUAGAGUUUAAAAGAUGGUUCUGCUAUCACUCUUGGAUGGACCUGCGGUGCAUUAGCUAGUUGGUAAGGUAACGGCUUACCAAGGCAAUGAUGCAUAGCCGAGUUGAGAGACUGAUCGGCCACAUUGGGACUGAGACACGGCCCAAACUCCUACGGGAGGCAGCAGUAGGGAAUCUUCCACAAUGGACGCAAGUCUGAUGGAGCAACGCCGCGUGAGUGAAGAAGGGUUUCGGCUCGUAAAGCUCUGUUGGUAGUGAAGAAAGAUAGAGGUAGUAACUGGCCUUUAUUUGACGGUAAUUACUUAGAAAGUCACGGCUAACUACGUGCCAGCAGCCGCGGUAAUACGUAGGUGGCAAGCGUUGUCCGGAUUUAUUGGGCGUAAAGCGAGUGCAGGCGGUUCAAUAAGUCUGAUGUGAAAGCCUUCGGCUCAACCGGAGAAUUGCAUCAGAAACUGUUGAACUUGAGUGCAGAAGAGGAGAGUGGAACUCCAUGUGUAGCGGUGGAAUGCGUAGAUAUAUGGAAGAACACCAGUGGCGAAGGCGGCUCUCUGGUCUGCAACUGACGCUGAGGCUCG
rnacentral:rRNA from 1 species